UAGCUCAGUCAGUUGAGCAUAGCACUAACAACGCUAAGGUUCACGGGUUCGGUUCCCGU
rnacentral:tRNA from 1 species